CAAAAGAGGGCAUUUGGUUCCCUAGGACUAGAGUUACUACACAGAUGCUUAUGAGCUGCUGUGGGUGCUGGUAAUCAGAUCCUCUGGAAAAACAGCCAGUGCUCUUAGCAACUGGCCAUCUCUGAAAUAAAAAAACACAGGGAACAAUGUGGUAUUGGCGGCAUAAAGGGGAUGACCUCAAGCUGAGCUGUGUCACACACAUGCAUGCACACACACACACACACACACACACACACACGCAUGCACGCACAUAUGCACUACUGGGAAUUGAGCCCUGGGGCUCACACAUGCUUCUUAAGCACAAGCACUCUACCACUGUCUUAUUAUAUUUUGAGAUAAUCUCGGUAAGUUGUCCAGCCUGGCUUUGAACUUGUGAUCCUCCUGUCUGAGCCUCCUGAGUGGGCUGCAACAACAGGUGUGUGCUACCUGGCCAGGCCCACGAAGAAUUUUCCCAUAGUAUCCACUUCCUGCAUGAUCUACUUCCUGUGUGAUCUAGGCCCUUUCCCCAGACCUUCCUGUCACAUUUCCGGCUUUGAUGCAGACAUCAUAACAGGGGUAGCGAGAUCCUCAAAUUCCUUGCUCCUUUGCUCCCACAUUUCUGGGAAUUUCACCAAGCAGAGAGAUUAAAUGCUAGGUCUCUGGGGACUGUGACAUAGCACCAGGCAGAUGCCUGAAGUUGGAGGGGCUGCUUUGUUACAGGGCUGUCAGGAGUAACGGAGAAGGCCACGGGGAGCUGUGAGCACGGAGCAGGUGUUUGCAGAGCUGAAUCAGGCCACAGUUUCCCGGAUGAACUUGCAGAGUCUCCUUAUUCCAAGCUAUAUAAAGCAACAGCAACAAUCAGGACACGCUCGAAGGAGGAGGAGAAACAUCAGGAGGGCAUCCCACCCCCGCCCCCACCAUGCCCCUCUGCCAGGCAGCAGAGGCGGGAGGAGGGUCCAGCAGGGAUGCUGGAGCUAAGCAGGAGGUCAGCUCACGAGGAAAAUCACCCUGCGCUGUCCUCUUAGGAUAAAACAAACAACUUCAAGGCUUAUCGAGAAAAUCCCCAGAUGUGAUCUCCAGCCAGCUGCAUGGCCCUGCUGAGUGCCAUCCUCAACAUUCUUGGGACAGAAGGACACGACAGGGCAUUGAAGUGAUGCUGUUCAUAGGUGCCAAGAAGUGAUCCACUCUAGGAGCCCUUCAGGACCCACAGGCGCCCUAGCUCCUCGCAGGAAAUGGCGUGACCCGGGCACGUUCCUGGAGCAUGCCUUCUUCCUCUGGUGACUCGAGACUCCUACUACAGUUCAGACUGGUGCCAUGCUACAUCUUCUUAGGACUAAUGGCAAAUAUGUCCACACGUGGAUAUUCACAUUGUUUUCAAGUAUUUUCAGCCUGUAGAUGUCCCGAAUGCAAGCGUGUGGAAUCCUCAGACUCGGAGGGCCAAGCAGAGGUGCCCCGUGGGCACCUCUCCCUCAUCAUAUGGGACACUCUUGGAUAACUGCCAUCAUUAGCACAGGCCAGUGGCAGAGAAGCAGAUGCGUGGAUGCCAACUGACCUGCUAAUGUGCGCCUCUUGUCACAAGGGUCUCUGGUGGCUGUCCGCAUGUGCAGGUGGAAUAUAGCAAUACUGAUCAGAAUCCACCAUCCAACUGUCCCCCUGAAGACUUCCCCAAGUUCAUUUCCAACUUUCUUCUAUGCCUUCCAGCCCACAUCACGCGCUAGGUUCCCCUGUGUUCUCGGAGGGCUGGAAACCCACACAGCACAACCCCUAGCCCUCCCCAGCCACUGGCACAAAAUGCAUCUCUAGAUCACUGGGGAGUUCUGGGAUCUCAAUGACAGCACGGGACGGCACAGGUCCCUAUGCCACGUCUCUGGGAGCAGCGACUCCUCCAACAAGAAUUUGUGGAAGACCAGGAUUGUAUAAGGGUCUACCCUGGGCUUCCCAGGAUCAGGAGAGCCUGCAUCUUCAAGAAAAUUGGUAGAAGAGGCUAGGGAAUUGGCUCAGGGUCUUUUGCUAACCUGUUCCUAAGGAAAAGACUAUGUGUUUAGGUUCCGCAGUGCUCAUGGGCAUGUGGCCAGGCCCAAGUGAGACCUAUCCCUAGCCAAACCUGCAGUUCUUACCAGGCCUGAAGAAGUCCCUGUGCAGGAAGCAAAGACAUGGUACAGUCACUGUCUGUCCCCCACGUCCCAGUCCUGGCUUGGUGUUGUCUGCUUCUGGAGAGAUGGGGGGCUCCAUUAUGAGUGUACAGCCAGAGCACACUAAAAUCAGCCCUCCCUAACUCUGGAGUGAAGCUGUUGCUUGGAGAGUGGUCCUGAUUACUGGGCCAUUAUUCCCACAGGGCUGGUCACCCAGCACUGGCCCUUUCAUCUGGAUUUCAAAGCAGGCCAGCCAUGCUGUAAUGGGACAGUAACUCACUUGAGGCCCAAGAAGGAGCCUUUGAAAGUGAGCUCUCUCGAAUUCCCUUCUGCCAGCAUGGCUAACAGGGGAAGACUGGCUUCAAGAUAGACUCAGUCAAGGGAGAGAGAUGCAGCAGUCAAAGCCAGGUCCCCCUGCCCCUGACACUGCAGAGGACAAGGCCUUGGGUGGCUGUGGCUGGCUCUCCUCUCAUGUCUACCUCAAGGACAGUGGAGUCUAUCGCAGACCCCAGGAAGCUGGGGCUCAGUUGUAACCAAGCUAUAAUAUGGCAGAGGCCCAAGUCCUGCCACAUCCCUGGAAAUGCUGGCUGUGUGUCCCUAGAAAAGUCACUUAAACCCUACUGGGCUUUAGUUGCCCCUUCCGUACAAUGGAGUCAACAACAGUUUGUAGCCCUCUGUGUCCCUAUUAUAUGAAUUAUUGGAGGUCCAGCCUAGACCUGGUGCAUACCAGCGCUCUGCAAAUUAUGUCGACGGGGACAAGGGCAUGCUGAGGUCACGCCCUGGCUGAAAGCUGGAUACAGAAUGAUGCAGAGCCGGAGGCUCAUGGGGCCAGGCUCUCCCGUCUCCUCUUGGCUGCCUCUGGUCCUGCACUCUGGCUGGGCUUAGCUGCCAUUUGGCCCCCAUCUUCGCUUGGCCCAAGCUCCCAUGAUCCAGGGACUUCAGAAAGUCCACUUCCUUAUUCUCAUGUCCCUUGACCACCAACUUGAUUGGGUCGCUGGGACUCAGGCCAGUGUCGUCACACACAUGCCCACCCCUCCCCGCUUGUGUUCUCUGUGUCCUUGCCACUACCUCAGUCCGUGGCAGAAGUCUCCUCUGUCACAUCCUCCUUCCCUCCGCCUGGAUCUUCCGCAGAAUGCUCGUCCUUCUCCAGGGAGGAACCUUGAUCUGGCCACUCUGCUGAUGCCCAGUCUCCCCCUGAGAAACCCUUCUCUGCAGAGCUCUAGGUCCAAGAAGUGGUCAUCUGUGGACACAACAAUGACUGUGCCCCUUGGAGACACUCCCUUUCGUGGGGGCUUUGAGGAAAAGAGGAGAUGGUUGGUUGGUGGAGCCACAACCUGACUCCUGCAGGGGCUGGGAAAACAUCCACCACCAAAGGCAGAGAGGAACAGACACAGCUCAGGCCUCUGUCCUGCAAGAGUCACCAGGUGACCUCGCUGAUCUGAUGUGAGUGCGUACCUCCCUUUGGUGGUGUUGAGUAUGGUAAGAGCAAGUUCAUUCUGGAAAUAUUUUGCACAUGAACUCCAAGAGGCCUCGGGAAAUUUGGGAAUAGCCAGACUGGGAGGAGGUUGGGGCAGGCCGGCAUGCUGUUGCAGGCCACCAAGAUCAAAUGGUAAAGGGGUCUUGUCCUUCAUGCUACAAGGCUCCUAGUUGGCAUGGCAAUUGUUGUAUCUUAAUAAAAACCAUUGAACAUCGGCUUGGGGAGGGGGCUCUGCCUAGUUGUACAGAAACAGACAGAAUAACAGUGUGUGUUCUAGAAGAUUCACAGACCAGGAUUGGCAGACCGUCUAGAAACUACCUAACUCUGCAGCCCAUCUACAGGUCAGAGAGUCCUAGGUGGAGACACCAAGGCACAGAGAAGCAGGUCACAGAGCAUCUUAAGUCUGACACCACUGAGUGGCCAGAACCCAGCCCCACAAAUCUGCGUCUGGAUCAUCCCAGCAAACAAACCCAAAGCACUCAUUAAACAGGACAAUGGCCGUCUCCACGCCAAGCAUUGGGCCAUCAGACCAAGAACUUGGUAAAUCUCAUCUGGUGCUGCCAAGCCCUUUGGCUGCUUGGGGUCUGCAAACAGGAGAUGAUCUGCCUCCUGGGACUUAGCUUUCUCCUGUCUUGGAUGCUGAGGUCCACAUCCGUGGCCAUGCAGUGCCACAGCUGCCCAAUACUACAUGCAAUGGAGUAACCCCGGGCCUUACCCAAGGAGAAGUCGGGCCCCACCCCAGCACCUGUGGACCUGCGGGGAGAGCUUUGUCAUCCCAAGGGAAGGGGACAAACAAAGGGGACGAAGGAAAUCAGUUGUGGUAGCUGGCUGUGAUUACAGCAGUCUGUGCAGCCCAGAGAGACUGAAAAUGCAAAUGCUUCCUAUGUGGGGAGCCAGGCAGGAGGCUCCUGUGUGGAAAUCAAAGGGGCACAGGAGGAACUUUCCUGUGGAGACAGAGGAUGAGGCCUCAGCUCCCGCUCCAGCUGGGUGGCAGAUGGUGCGUAUCGGGGCCCACUUCCCAUCGCUCCACUUGCUGUCUUCUCUUCCCCUUCCUUCUUCCUCCUGCCCUUCCUCCUCCCGCCUGGAGUAAAAACACAAUGGGGGUCUUCAUCAGCUCGAAACACAACCCAGAAGUCUCACGUGGCCUGGAGGAACCACCCUAGGGAGACGGCUCUGACUUUGUCAGCUUCACUUGGGCUACGGAGGAACGCGGAGGUUCCAAGGCUGCCGACGUCCUUCAGCUCCGCUCAUGACCGAAUAGCACAGCUUUGAGCCUUUGGCUGGGCCAGUCUCAAGGGUCUUGAAAAGGACAUCGCAAAGUCACCAGGUCCCAAGCACGGAUACAACUGCCACCCUGUGUCACCCUCUGACACUUUCAGAAGACACAAGUGUCAAAUGUCAACUAAGGUCUGUGUCAUUCGAAACCGUGCCUCGGUUGGGACAUUCCAACACUUAAGUCAUUCAUAGCUUGCAAAGCUUGCAAGUGUUUCUGGGUAUGAAGUCAUCAGCAACCAGGUUUCCUGAUGAAGCUGAGGUCCAGUCUCCACAAAGCUCCGUCCACCAUGGUGGACUCCCCGCUCAGAGAUUGAGAGCCUACGAGUGUGGGAGCUGUUCAAGAGCUGCCGAGGGAGUUGCGCUGGGAGGCCUCUUACUGCCCCGAGCCUGCUUGUAAACAAAUUGUCUCAAUUUGAGUGGCAUCAAAUAACUCAAUGAACCCAAUGAAUAGAACAGCAACAAGAAAGAACAGCUUUUAAAGCUCACAGACAAACACAAUUAUUAAUGACAAAGCUUGCCAACCGGAAGACAUCGGUCUGUCUUGAUCCAAGCCAAGAAGGUACGAGACGCGUUCAACAGUGAGAGUCCUCAAACAUGUUAAGACUUAAUUGUGGAAUUAUAUAACCACACUUCACAGGAGGCACCCUGCAAUGAAGCCCCACUUUUAAUUAUUCCGGGACCAGAAGGGAACAGCAUUAAAAGAUCUGCAAGUCUGCUGUGUCUAAACUCUGAGAAACAUCAAGAGAACACGGCGAAGCAACUCCACACAGACAGCUUACUCAGGGAGCUACCUCCCGUGAAGAGUUUGAGACUAUGCAUUCUUGUAAAGGUCUAUGAGUGAAAGUAAGCUGCCAGCCUCAGCCACGGAAGGAAUAGCUAUGUGCUUUAGUAUGAGAAAAAAAUUCAGCAGUGAGCAGAAUUUACUUUGAGCUUACCAGGUACCUGAGCACCCGUGGAGAGAAAAUUGUCUCAAUUAAAAAUGUCACGGUCUAACAGAGAGGAGUCCCUGGAAGGUGUUGGCCAUUUCAAAUUUACUAACCUAAAAAGGGGAGAAACGCAACUUUUCAAAAGAACACAGCGAUUUUAUGAAGAAAUAAAUAAUGUUAAGAGUCUGUUGGGGAAAAUCCCUCCAGAAAAAUUCCAAUAGAUUCUUUGAUGUGUUAAAACUGAAAACCAGUCAAAAUAAACAAAUGAUAAACAAAUAAAUAGGGGCUGGAGAGAUGGCUCAGUGGUUAAAAGCACCUAACUACUCUUGCAGUUGACCCAAGUUCAGUUCCCAGCACCCAAGUGGUAGCGCAUAAACAUGUACAACUCUAGUUCCUGAGGAUCCAGUGCCCUCUUGAGGCCUCUUUGGGCAUUACACACAGGUGGUGUACAUACA